rnacentral:rRNA from 1 species
AUUGAACGCUGGCGGCAGGCCUAACACAUGCAAGUCGAACGGUAACAGGGAUCAGCUUGCUGAUUCGCUGACGAGUGGCGGACGGGUGAGUAAUGUCUGGGAAACUGCCUGAUGGAGGGGGAUAACUACUGGAAACGGUAGCUAAUACCGCAUAACGUCGCAAGACCAAAGAGGGGGACCUUCGGGCCUCUUGCCAUCGGAUGUGCCCAGAUGGGCUUAGCUAGUAGGUGGGGUAACGGCUCACCUAGGCGACGAUCCCUAGCUGGUCUGAGAGGAUGAACAGCCCAACUGGGACUGAGACACGGGCCCGACUCCUAAGGGGGGGCGGAGGGGGGAAUUUUGGAACAAGGGGGGAAGCCUGAUGGAGCCAAGCCGCGUGGAAGAAAAAGGCCUUUGGGUUGUAAAAGUCUUUUGGGCGGGAAGAAAGGGAUUAAGUUAAAAACCUUGGCUAAUGACCGUUCCCCAAAAAAAAAGCCCGGCUAACCCCGGG